rnacentral:rRNA from 1 species
UGCACGUCGAGCGGAUGAAGGAGCUUGCUCCUGGAUUCAGCGGCGGACGGGUGAGUAAUGCCUAGGAAUCUGCCUGGUAGUGGGGGACAACGUUUCGAAAGGAACGCUAAUACCGCAUACGUCCUACGGGAGAAAGCAGGGGACCUUCGGGCCUUGCGCUAUCAGAUGAGCCUAGGUCGGAUUAGCUAGUUGGUGAGGUAAUGGCUCACCAAGGCGACGAUCCGUAACUGGUCUGAGAGGAUGAUCAGUCACACUGGAACUGAGACACGGUCCAGACUCCUACGGGAGGCAGCAGUGGGGAAUAUUGGACAAUGGGCGAAAGCCUGAUCCAGCCAUGCCGCGUGUGUGAAGAAGGUCUUCGGAUUGUAAAGCACUUUAAGUUGGGAGGAAGGGUUGUAGAUUAAUACUCUGCAAUUUUGACGUUACCGACAGAAUAAGCACCGGCUAACUCUGUGCCAGCAGCCGCGGUAAUACAGAGGGUGCAAGCGUUAAUCGGAAUUACUGGGCGUAAAGCGCGCGUAGGUGGUUCGUUAAGUUGGAUGUGAAAUCCCCGGGCUCAACCUGGGAACUGCAUUCAAAACUGUCGAGCUAGAGUAUGGUAGAGGGUGGUGGAAUUUCCUGUGUAGCGGUGAAAUGCGUAGAUAUAGGAAGGAACACCUGUGGCGAAGGCGACCACCUGGACUGAUACUGACACUGAGGUGCGAAAGCGUGGGGAGCAAACAGGAUUAGAUACCCUGGUAGUCCACGCCGUAAACGAUGUCAACUAGCCGUUGGGAGCCUUGAGCUCUUAGUGGCGCAGCUAACGCAUUAAGUUGACCGCCUGGGGAGUACGGCCGCAAGGUUAAAACUCAAAUGAAUUGACGGGGGCCCGCACAAUCCGUGGGAUCAUGUGUUUUUAUUUCUGAUCAUCGCGAAGA